rnacentral:rRNA from 1 species
GACGAACGCUGGCGGCGUGCUUAACACAUGCAAGUCGAACGGAAAGGCCCUGCUUUUGUGGGGUGCUCGAGUGGCGAACGGGUGAGUAACACGUGAGUAACCUGCCCUUGACUUUGGGAUAACUUCAGGAAACUGGGGCUAAUACCGGAUAGGAGCUCCUGCUGCAUGGUGGGGGUUGGAAAGUUUCGGCGGUUGGGGAUGGACGCGCGGCUUAUCAGCUUGUUGGUGGGGUAGUGGCUUACCAAGGCUUUGACGGGUAGCCGGCCUGGGAGGGUGACCGGCCACAUUGGGACUGAGAGACGGCCCAGACUCGUACGGGAGGCAACAGUGGGGAAUAUUGCACAAUGGGCCGAAGCCUGAUGCAGCAACGCCGCGUGCGGGAUGACGGCCUUCGGGUUGUAAACCGCUUUCGCCUGUGACGAAGCGUGAGUGACGGUAAUGGGUAAAGAAGCACCGGCUAACUACGUG